CCUACGGGAGGCUGCAGUGAGGAAUAUUGGUCAAUGGGCGCGAGCCUGAACCAGCCAAGUCGCGUGAGGGAAGACGGUCCUAUGGAUUGUAAACCUCUUUUGUCGGGGAGCAAAAGACGCCACGCGUGGCGUUCCAAGCUGACCCGAAGUAAAAGCAUCGGCAAACUCCGUGCCAGCCGCCGCGGUAAUGCGGAGGAUGAGAGCGUUGUCCGGAUUUAUUGGGUUUAAAGGGUAGGCAGGCGGAAGAUCCAGUCAGCGGUAAAAUCGAGGGGCUCAACCUCUUCGAGCCGUUGAAACUGGUUUUCUGGAGUGAGCGAGAAGUAAGCGGAAUGCGUGGUGUAGCGGUGAAAUGCAUAGAUAUCACGCAGAACUCC
rnacentral:rRNA from 1 species